rnacentral:rRNA from 1 species
CCUACGGGUGGCUGCAGUGGGGGAUAUUGCACAAUGGGCGAAAGCCUGAUGCAGCAACGCCGCGUGAGCGAUGAAGGCCUUCGGGUCGUAAAGCUCUGUCCUCAGGGAAGAUAAUGACGGUACUUGAGGAGGAAGCCCCGGCUAACUACGUGCCAGCAGCCGCGGUAAUACGUAGGGGGCUAGCGUUAUCCGGAUUUACUGGGCGUAAAGGGGGCGUAGGUGGCUUCUUAAGUCAGAGGUGAAAGGCUAGGGCGAAACCGGAGAACGCCUUUGAAACUGGGAAGCUUGAGUGCAGGAGGGGAGAGUGGAAUUCCUGGUGUAGCGGUGAAAUGCGUAGAUAUUAGGAGGAACACCAGUGGCGAAGGCGGCUCUCUGGACUGCAACUGACAUUGAGGCACGAAAGCGUGGGGAGCAAACAGGAUUAGAUACCCGGGUAGUC